UUUUUUUUUUCGGUUUCUUUUUCGUUUCUUUUUCCGACCAAAAGAGAGAUACAGCAAUUGGUCUGAGUCAAGCGUUGUCUCUGAUUUUUACACCGAGCACUUGGUACGCGUAUCAAAUAGUAAAUAACUAGUGAAUGUGUUUAAUCAUUGGCUGAUCAGCUUAAAUUCAUUACUUGAUACGCGUACCAAGUGCUCGGUGUAAAUUAGGGCUCUGUCUAACCAGUAGCAUAAUAGGCGCUAGACAGAGAAAGAAAUUGACCCGGACCAUGUUUCCUCUUUGUUUUUCUGCCGGACACUUUUCAAGAGCUUUUUGCAGGAAAUGCGCAGUCCAUGCUUUAUGUCGAUGAUUUUUACAAAAUUUGGAUUAACCCACUAUUACAGCAAGCUCUUUAAUUGAAAAAGGCCCAAAAGAAAUAAUCAAACCAUAAUAGGUCCAAAAUUUGGUUUAUUUCGGACUUUCUAUGAAUGUCCGAAAUUGUGACAAACUUAUAUCCCAUGGAUGUCCAUUAAAGGACUUUCUAUGAACGUACAAAGUUGUGCCAAACGUAUAUCCUAUGGACGUCCAUCAAAUGUCCGACGGACCUUAUUUGGACUCUUAAUGGAUGUCCAAAUGUCCAGAAGCGGAUAUCCACUGAACAUACACUGGAUGUCCUUGUGCUAUCUGGGUAAUGAAUAAAUUCGUAAAUGCUUUGACAAGAGGAUAAAGAACAUUGGUGGACACACUGCUCAAAAAAUGGUUUCAAAUAUACUCACAACCUGUAUAACAUUUGAGGUUGGCCAUAAAUUGUCUUGGACGGGUGCAAAAAACACGUUAGCGAUCGAGAAUUCCUCUUUUGCUAAUAUAAUAAUUGGAGCUGUGAGCCGUGCAAGGGGAAAAGGAUCCACAAAAUAUACAAUAGCAGAAAUCAUAAAACAUAUCAAAAAUUGGUUGCAACACGCAGGUGACAAGAUGAAAUAUAGAUUUAAAAAAUCUGCAUCAUAGAAUAUGUGUAUGUAUGUAUGUACGUAUGUAUGUAUAUAUACAUAUAUACAUACAUACA